GACGAACGCUGGCGGCGUGCUUAACACAUGCAAGUCGAACGGAAAGGCCCUGCUUUUGUGGGGUGCUCGAGUGGCGAACGGGUGAGUAACACGUGAGUAACCUGCCCUUGACUUUGGGAUAACUUCAGGAAACUGGGGCUAAUACCGGAUAGGAGCUCCUGCUGCAUGGUGGGGGUUGGAAAGUUUCGGCGGUUGGGGAUGGACUCGCGGCUUAUCAGCUUGUUGGUGGGGUAGUGGCUUACCAAGGCUUUGACGGGUAGCCGGCCUGAGAGGGUGACCGGCCACAUUGGGACUGAGAUACUGCCCAGACUCCUACGGGAGGCAGCAGUGGGGAAUAUUGCACAAUGGGCGGAAGCCUGAUGCAGCAACGCCGCGUGCGGGAUGACGGCCUUCGGUUUGUAAACCGCUUUCGCCUGUGACGAAGCGUGAGUGACGGUAAUGGGUAAAGAAGCACCGGCUAACUACGUG
rnacentral:rRNA from 1 species